rnacentral:rRNA from 1 species
CACGCCGUAAACGAUGACUGCUAGGUGUCGGGUGGCAAAGCCAUUCGGUGCCGCAGCUAACGCAAUAAGCAGUCCACCUGGGGAGUACGUUCGCAAGAAUGAAACUCAAAGGAAUUGACG